rnacentral:rRNA from 1 species
AAGUCUGACGGAGCAACGCCGCGUGAGUGACGAAGGCCUUCGGGUCGUAAAGCUCUGUUGUUAGGGAAGAACAAGUACCGUUCGAAUAGGGCGGUACCUUGACGGUACCUAACCAGAAAGCCACGGCUAACUACGUGCCAGCAGCCGCGGUAAUACGUAGGUGGCAAGCGUUGUCCGGAAUUAUUGGGCGUAAAGCGCGCGCAGGCGGUCUCUUAAGUCUGAUGUGAAAGCCCACGGCUCAACCGUGGAGGGCCAUUGGAAACUGGGGGACUUGAGUGCAGAAGAGGAGAGUGGAAUUCCACGUGUAGCGGUGAAAUGCGUAGAUAUGUGGAGGAACACCAGUGGCGAAGGCGGCUCUCUGGUCUGUAACUGACGCUGAGGCGCGAAAGCGUGGGGAGCAAACAGGAUUAGAUACCCUGGUAGUCCACGCCGUAAACGAUGAGUGCUAGGUGUUGGGGGG